UCCCUGGUGGUCGACUGGCUAAGACACUGCAUUCCCAAUGCAGGGGGGCCUGGGUUCAACCCCUGCUGGGGGA
rfam:TPA: Bos taurus chromosome 3, whole genome shotgun sequence.